rnacentral:misc_RNA from 1 species
UCUCCGUUGGUGAACCAGCGGAGGGAUCAUUACCGAGUUUACAACUCCCAAACCCAGUGUGAACGUUACCAAACUGUUGCCUCGGCGGGAUCUCUGCCCCGGGUGCGUCGCAGCCCCGGACCAAGGCGCCCGCCGGAGGACCAACCAAAACUCUUUAUGUAUACCCCCUCGCGGGUUUUUUUACAAUCUGAGCCAUCUCGGCGCCCCUCGUGGGCGUUUCGAAAAUGAAUCAAGACUUUCAACAACGGAUCUCUUGGUUCUG